rnacentral:tRNA from 1 species
GGCAUGGUGGUGCAGUAGGUAGCACUGUUGCCUCACAGCAAGGAAGUCCUGGGUUGAAUCCGGUCUGGGCCU